UUAAAGGGACACUAUAGUCACCAGAACAACUACAGCUUAUUGAAUUUGUUCUGGUGAGUAGAAUCAUUACCUUCAGGCUUUUUGCUGUAAACCCUGUCUUUUCAGAGAAACUUCACUGGCCACUCCUCAGAUGGCUGUUAGAGAUCCUUCCUAGGUCAUGGCUGCCUAAAAUGCAUCCAAGCAUUCAAUGUCUCCUCCCUCUGC